rnacentral:rRNA from 1 species
UACGAGUGGUGCUAGCGUUAUUCGGAGUAAUUGGGCGUAAAGGGUGUGUAGGCGGUAUAUUAAGUCAAUUGUUAAAGACCUUGGCCUAACUAAGGAAAGGCAGUUGAAACUGAUAUGCUUGAGGGUGGAAGAGAGAAGUGGAAUUCUCGGAGUAGCGGUAAAAUGCGUAGAUCUCGAGAGGAACACCGAUGGCGAAGGCAGCUUCUUGGUCCACAUCUGACGCUGAGGCACGAAAGCGUGGGGAGCAAACAGG